UAAGCCAAUGUUUAUGUGAUCUACGUCUCAUAGAGUUCUUGCACUGAUGUAAUCAAUGGGAGGGUGUGGCUAAAUUUGAGCUAAAUUGUCCGCCAUGUUGGGUGGCAAGAAUGUACAUGGAGGAAUGGA
rnacentral:lncRNA from 1 species